AACGAGAAAGGACUUUUCGGAGUCUGAGUACAGUGGCGCACGGGUGAGUGACGCGUGAAUUACCUACCCUUGAGAGGGGGACAACUCUCCGAAAGGAGAGCUAAUACCGCAUAUUGCACUUCGGUGUGAAAGUCGGGGACCUUCGGGGCCUGGCGCUUGAAGAGGGUUCGCGUACGAUUAGCUUGUUGGCGGGUAAUGGCCCACCAAGGCUACGAUCGUUAACUGGUCUGAGAGGAUGAUCAGUCACAAUGGAACUGAGACACGGUCCAUACUCC
rnacentral:rRNA from 1 species